rnacentral:rRNA from 1 species
UACGGAGGGUGCGGGCGUUGUCCGGAAUCACUGGGCGUAAAGGGCGCGUAGGCGGCAGGCCAAGCGUGCGGUGAAAGUCCGGGGCUCAACCCCGGAUCUGCCGUGCGGACUGGUUUGCUAGAGCACUGUAGAGGCGAGUGGAAUUCCGGGUGUAGCGGUGGAAUGCGUAGAGAUCCGGAAGAACACCGGUGGCGAAGGCGGCUCGCUGGGCAGUGGCUGACGCUGAGGCGCGACAGCGUGGGGAGCAAACAGG